UUCCUCACCCGCAGAUGAACGGUUCAAUCUUUACUCACAGUACUGAUUGAUACGUCCACGAUGUGUCUUCAAUGCGAUCCUUAAGUCUCAUAGGCGGUGUGAUUUAUGAGUAUAAAUAGAUUCGCAUAUGAUUCCAGAGAUGAACUGGUUUAUGGUCAAAAACUUCCACUUCGAAGAUCAGGAAUACUUUGCCUUCCGGCUUGCAUUUGAAGUAUUAUUAUUGUUGGUUCGUGAAAUAAUUUAUAUUCUUCAAUUGAUGGUUUUAUAUGUGGGACACACUAAGAAUGAUGAGAUGAUACACAUGCAAAGGGUUCUGGUGCUGCUAUUGCCAUGGGAGCUGAGGCACCAGUUUAUGAAGCCGAAGCUUCAGAUUACUUGCUAGGAAGAAUCUUUCAUGUAUCAGUUUGUCAUUUGUUGCUCUAGAAAAGAAAGUCUGUAAAAUAUGAAGGGUGAAAACAGUGUAAAGUCUGUUCCCAAAACAGGCCGAGCAGAAGACCCAGACCAGAACAUCUACCAAGGCCGUAAAGCCAGACCAGCGUCCACCAACUGUCAAGAAAUUGGUAUCUAGAAAAGAGGAGAUAUAGAAGCUAGCAACAAAGUAAGAAGAAGAAGAGCUAUCUUAACCAAAGAUGAAGAUGAGAUGAUUAAGAAAGAACAGGAGAAGAGAAAAAAAAAAAAAAGAAGAGAAUCCCCUGGGGAGCAACAUCAGUUACAUGAGAUAUCAUCAAAAGAGAAAGAGUCAAUGGAGAGGAAGAAGAAGAUAGCAGAAAAAACAAAGGCAAAGGCAAGAAAAGGAUCAGGUAACUCUUAAGGCUAAAGAAAAAGGAAAUGGUAACUUUUUCAAUUGUUGUCCAACUAAGAACCAAAAUCUAUACUUGGUUUAUGGUGUGGUUAUGUAAAGGCGAAUACUUAGAAAAUAAUUUGACCGAAAAUCUUCGGGUUAAUAAAUCAAAUAUCUACGAGUUAAUAAUCA